GAGCCCACACAUCAGUCGCACUUCCCCACGCGCGCCCUGUUCUCUUCUCCACCGAGCUCUUUAUCUGUGCGCCACCUCCGCUGUCGCCUGCUCCUAGCCGGUGUCCUCGGUUGGCCCGAGCUCCGGUGACCUGCUCCCACGACUGCACCCGAGCCCCUCCUUCUCCUAUGCUGUGUGACUGCAUGCCCGCUCGCGAGACUGGGUCGAAAGCGGUUCAGGCCAGGACGACUUCAUAGGGAAAACCCCCAAGGCAUCUCCAUAUAGACUUAAAAAUCCUUGAGUGUUCAUGAGUGUUGCCCUCUUGCAAGCGCCAAACUCUAGGUUGUGGUUCCUUACCCGGCUGGAGUCUACGUCUCCGACAUUUGGUGCGCUAGGUAGCGGGAUGUUAAGUCCCUGUGAGUUUUGUGCCCUCCCUCUAGUGCCUCCGAUGGGUGCAUUCGGUCACCCGACCGGAGUCUACGUCACCGACAUUCGAUGCUACAGGGAUGGGGGAAUGGAGGUGUUUCCCCUAUGAGCCCCUUCCUCGUCUUGGUAGGGAGAAUCUCGAAUAUGAUUCUCCUAGCCAGGCGUUGAAGUUCCUCCUCUGACGACCGGUGCACUCCGUCGCCCGGCCAGCGAGGGCUACGCCUGCGACAACCUCAUCUCGUCGGAGGUGGCCUACGGGCCAUGGGGCCCCUGGGGGCACACCACGUGCACUAGUGGGGUUUCAAGAGCAGUGCUAAGACCCACGUCGCCCCCUACGUCGGCCUACUACUAGGCUCUGUGGCGCCAGACCUAACUCGUCGACCACAACAAGAGAUAUAUGGCAUUUGCAACGUCUCGAAUUUCUAUUUUAGGAUUUAUAAAAGUCCUAAAAAGUUUUGAGAAUAAAAUGACUUCCAAUAACAAUUUCAAUCCUUUAUAGAGUAUAUCUCUCUAAACUAAAAAAUAUCAAUAACUAAAAAUUUGGUAUUCAAAACAUAGAUCCAAAACGUAAAACUUAAAGUUGAAGCAACAAAUAAAAGAGAGACUUUCAAUAUAUUUCUUGUUCCCUUUAAAGCACUCUUUAAAAAUGUUCAAACAAAAAAAUAUAUUAAAACUAGGGAGAUUUUUAAAUAAUGUGGCUAAAUAUUUUACAUAAAUUAUUUCCAUUGUUAUAUAAAAGUUUAGAUAAUUAUUUGAAAGAAAAAUUUAUUGGAAUUUGGUUCUCUUAUGGGAAUUAUAUAUUUGAAAUUUAUAGGAAAGUACUAAAUAAAUUUUCUGCUUUUGCAUAUCAUACUGGAUUUCUAUGUGUGCAUUUGAACUUGAGUGUAUAACUCAAAACCCAAUUUGGAUUUAAACAAAUAGAAAAUAAAAUAGAAAACAAAAAUAAAGAAAAAAGGAAAAAGUGAAGCCCUUACCUGGGUCGAGUCCUAUUGCUCCCAGCCCAUCUCCCCCCUCUUUCCUCCCCGAUGAGCCCACUUUUCCCUCUCACUUUUCUUUUCUCCCCGCACCGCGUAUUUGUGUCACUGGUGGCUGGGGCCCGCCUAUAAGGUCCAUCCCCUUCGUCAUCCCCGAGCCGUAGCGUGCGCCAACAGACCACCAAAAUCGGUGGGAAGCUCGGCCUCUGCGCGGACUCCGUUCCUUCUGACUGGGCUAUAAAGUUGAGUUCUGGGGCUCCCCUUUGCCCAUCCUGUCUGUCUGCUAAGCUUGUUCCGUGUGUGUGCCGCCACCGAGGAACAUAGGGGAGAUAGAGGGAGAAAAGUGCCGCUGCACCAUAAAUCAUGCACCGCCGGUGUCGGGCCCUCAGUGACCGGCCACAGACCACAGUGCUUCACCAAGUCGCAAGUAGGGUACUUGUGGCCAUGCCGGGUGGAGUAGAAGACGGGAACCCUUGGGAUUGCUCACUAGAGCAAUUUAGCCACCGUGGAUCCGCCCUUCAUCGAUGAUUCGACGUUCAGGUGCAUAUCUCACGGUCAAGGACAUGUACUACAAGAUGAGGAGCAAGAAGGAUGUCACGAUGAGAUUCGUGAGAGGUCUAGGCCGUCGUCUCCUAGUCAACUAUGGUUGCUGGAUCGUUGUCUUCGUAUGAUGUAACUAUUUAACUAUUUUGUAUAGAACUGCAUUAUAUAUUAAAGAUAUGACAU